GAGUUUGAUCAUGGCUCAGGAUGAACGCUGGCGGCAGGCCUAACACAUGCAAGUCGAGCGGAUGAGAGGAGCUUGCUCCUUGAUUCAGCGGCGGACGGGUGAGUAAUGCCUAGGAAUCUGCCUGAUAGUGGGGGACAACGUUUCGAAAGGAACGCUAAUACCGCAUACGUCCUACGGGAGAAAGCAGGGGACCUUCGGGCCUUGCGCUAUCAGAUGAGCCUAGGUCGGAUUAGCUAGUAGGUGAGGUAAUGGCUCACCUAGGCGACGAUCCGUAACUGGUCUGAGAGGAUGAUCAGCCACACUGGGACUGAGACACGGCCCAGACUCCUACGGGAGGCAGCAGUGGGGAAUAUUGGACAAUGGGCGAAAGCCUGAUCCAGCAAUGCCGCGUGAGUGAUGAAGGCCUUAGGGUUGUAAAGCUCUUUUACCAGGGAUGAUAAUGACAGUACCUGGAGAAUAAGCUCCGGCUAACUCCGUGCCAGCCGCCGCCGU
rnacentral:rRNA from 1 species